rnacentral:lncRNA from 10 species
CGGCGGCCGAGUUGGGAGAAUGCGGCGGCGCUCGCGGAUGCUGCUCUGCUUCGCCUUCCUCUCCAGACUCUGUGCUCUGUUCUGCAGUGUUGGAGCUAGGACCGCACAUCCCAGCUGCUUUGCCAGUGGCUUCCGGGCCACCUCCAUCAGCAGGAGGCGGUAGAAGCACCAGCAAGAUGGGGCUUUGGUCCUUCCUGUUGGCUUCCUGUUGCCCCAGCUGUAGCUGUUGAAUUCAGUCUUCAGUUAUCCCAGCACUGGCCAGCCAGCCUCAUCGUCCACACUCCCUGCAGAUCCCACCACUCCUCCAAGGAAGUCUCUACCUCAGGGCCCUUUGGCUACGCUUCUAAGGUUAAGUCUAACCGGUUCCCUCAGGCCUAGGGGUGGUGGCUGCUUCCUGUCGUUGCUACUUCCCUGAUAUCUAGAAUUUUCCUUUUUCUACCCAGUUACCUGGUUACUGACUUUCUACCCAGUUAACAAUUUAUAUUAAAGCCCUUCUGUUCAAAAA